UAGUGUAGCCCUGCGGUGCCA
rnacentral:siRNA from 1 species